ACUCUACGGGAGGCAGCAGUAAGGAAUAUUGGACAAUGGUCGCAAGACUGAUCCAGCCAUGCCGCGUGCAGGAUGAAUGCCCUAUGGGUUGUAAACUGCUUUUGUACGGGAAUAAACCCUCCUACGUGUAGGAGGCUGAAUGUACCGUAAGAAUAAGGGUCGGCUAACUUCGUGCCAGCAGCCGCGGUAAGACGAAGGACCCGAGCGUUAUCCGGAUUCAUUGGGUUUAAAGGGUGCGUAGGCGGAUUGAUAAGUCAGUGGUGAAAUCCCAUCGCUUAACGGUGGAACUGCCAUUGAUACUGUCGAUCUUGAAUAUGUUUGAUGUGGGCGGAAUAUGACAUGUAGCGGUGAAAUGCUUAGAUAUGUCAUAGAACACCGAUUGCGAAGGCAGCUCACAAAGCCAUUAUUGACGCUGAGGCACGAAAGUGCGGGGAUCAAACAGGAUUAGAUACCCUGGUAGUCCGCACUGUAAACGUUGAUCACUCGCUGUUGGCGAUAUACUGUCAGCGGCUAAGCGAAAGCGUUAAGUGAUCCACCUGGGGAGUACGACCGCAAGGUUGAAACUUAAAGGAAUUGACG
rnacentral:rRNA from 1 species